rnacentral:rRNA from 1 species
GCCUACGGGUGGCUGCAGUGGGGAAUUUUGGACAAUGGGCGCAAGCCUGAUCCAGCAAUGCCGCGUGCAGGAUGAAGGCCUUCGGGUUGUAAACUGCUUUUGUACGGAACGAAAAAGCUCUCUCUAAUACAGGGGGUGAAUGACGGUACCGUAAGAAUAAGCACCGGCUAACUACGUGCCAGCAGCCGCGGUAAUACGUAGGGUGCAAGCGUUAAUCGGAAUUACUGGGCGUAAAGCGUGCGCAGGCGGUUUUGUAAGACAGAGGUGAAAGCCCCGGGCUCAACCGGGGAACUGCCUUUGGGACUGCAAAGCUGGAGUGCGGCAGAGGGGGAUGGAAUUCCGCGUGUAGCAGUGAAAUGCGUAGAUAUGCGGAGGAACACCGAUGGCGAAGGCAAUCCCCUGGGCCUGCACUGACGCUCAUGCACGAAAGCGUGGGGAGCAAACAGGAUUAGAUACCCGGGUAGUCA